GGACUGAGACCCCGGUCCCACCUUUCUUCGGGAGGCAAGCAGUAGGGAAUUUUUCCGCAAUGGACGAAAAUCUCGACGGAGCAACGCCCCCGUGAAUUAAAGAAGGCUUUCGGGUUCGAAAACCUCUGUUUGUUAGGGAAGAACAAGUGCUAGUUGAAUAAGCUGGCACCUUGGCGGGUACCUACCCAGAAAAGCCACGGCUAAUUACGUGCCAGCAGCCGCGGUAAUUCGUAGGUGGCAAGCGUUAUCCGGAAUUAUUGGGCGUAAAGCGCGCGCAGGUGGUUUCUUAAGUCUGAUGUGAAAGCCCACGGCUCAACCGUGGAGGGUCAUUGGAAACUGGGAGACUUGAGUGCAGAAGAGGAAAGUGGAAUUCCCAUGUGUAGCGGUGAAAUGCGUAGAGAUAUGGAGGAACACCAGUGGCGAAGGCGACUUUCUGGUCUGUAACUGACACUGAGGCGCGAAAGCGUGGGGAGCAAACAGGAUUAGAUACCCUGGUAGUCCACGCCGUAAACGAUGAGUGCUAAGUGUUAGAGGGUUUCCGCCCUUUAGUGCUGAAGUUAACGCAUUAAGCACUCCGCCUGGGGAGUACGGCCGCAAGGCUGAAACUCAAAGGAAUUGACGGGGGCCCGCACAAGCGGUGGAGCAUGUGGUUUAAUUCGAAGCAACGCGAAGAACCUUACCAGGUCUUGACAUCCUCUGAAAACUCUAGAGAUAGGGCUUCUCCUUCGGGAGCAGAGUGACAGGUGGUGCAUGGUUGUCGUCAGCUCGUGUCGUGAGAUGUUGGGUUAAGUCCCGCAACGAGCGCAACCCUUGAUCUUAGUUGCCAUCAUUAAGUUGGGCACUCUAAGGUGACUGCCGGUGACAAACCGGAGGAAGGUGGGGAUGACGUCAAAUCAUCAUGCCCCUUAUGACCUGGGCUACACACGUGCUACAAUGGACGGUACAAAGAGCUGCAAGACCGCGAGGUGGAGCUAAUCUCAUAAAACCGUUCUCAGUUCGGAUUGUAGGCUGCAACUCGCCUACAUGAAGCUGGAAUCGCUAGUAAUCGCGGAUCAGCAUGCCGCGGUGAAUCCGUUACCGGGCCUUGUACACAGUUCCUUUCUCGCUCACUCGAAUCUAGCCAGCCUAGGGGGUUCCUCCUCAUCGUCCUACUAGCUGUACAUAUAUAGUGGAUAGUUAUCAC
rnacentral:rRNA from 1 species